rnacentral:rRNA from 1 species
CCGGCACGGGUGAGUAACACGUAUCCAACCUGCCGUCUACUCUGGACAGCCUUCUGAAAGGAAAGAUUAAUACAAGAUGGCAUCAUGAGUCCGCAUGUUCACAUGAUUAAAGGUAUUCCGGUAGACGAUGGGGAUGCGUUCCAUUAGAUAGUAGGCGGGGUAACGGCCCACCUAGUCUUCGAUGGAUAGGGGUUCUGAGAGGAAGGUCCCCCACAUUGGAACUGAGACACGGUCCAA